rnacentral:rRNA from 1 species
AUUGAACGCUGGCGGCAGGCCUAACACAUGCAAGUCGAGCGGAUGAGAGGAGCUUGCUUCUCGAUUCAGCGGCGGACGGGUGAGUAAUGCCUAGGAAUCUGCCUGGUAGUGGGGGACAACGUUUCGAAAGGAACGCUAAUACCGCAUACGUCCUACGGGAGAAAGCAGGGGACCUUCGGCGCUUGCGCUAUCAGAUGAGCCUAGGUCGGAUUAGCUAGUUGGUGAGGUAAUGGCUCACCAAGGCGACAAUCCGUAACUGGUCUGAGAGGAUGAUCAGUCACACUGGAACUGAGACACGGUCCAGACUCCUACGGGAGGCAGCAGUGGGGAAUAUUGGACAAUGGGCGAAAGCCUGAUCCAGCCAUGCCGCGUGUGUGAAGAAGGUCUUCGGAUUGUAAAGCACUUUAAGUUGGGAGGAAGGGUUGUAGAUUAAUACUCUGCAAUUUUGACGUUACCGACAGAAUAAGCACCGGCUAACUCUGUGCCAGCAGCCGCCGUAACAC